GGCUAUGGCGGCAGCCUACACAUGCAGUCGAACGGUAGCACAGAGAGCUUGCUCCUCGGGUGACGAGUGGCGGACGGGUGAGUAAUGUCUGGGAAACUGCCUGAUGGAGGGGGAUAACUACUGGAAACGGUAGCUAAUACCGCAUAACGUCGCAAGACCAAAGAGGGGGACCUUCGGGCCUCUUGCCAUCAGAUGUGCCCAGAUGGGAUUAGCUAGUAGGUGGGGUAACGGCUCACCUAGGCGACGAUCCCUAGCUGGUCUGAGAGGAUGACCAGCCACACUGGAACUGAGACACGGUCCAGACUCCUACGGGAGGCAGCAGUGGGGAAUAUUGCACAAUGGGCGCAAGCCUGAUGCAGCCAUGCCGCGUGUAUGAAGAAGGCCUUCGGGUUGUAAAGUACUUUCAGCGGGGAGGAAGGUGAUGAGGUUAAUAACCUUGUCGAUUGACGUUACCCGCAGAAGAAGCACCGGCUAACUCCGUGCCAGCAGCCGCGGUAAUACGGAGGGUGCAAGCGUUAAUCGGAAUUACUGGGCGUAAAGCGCACGCAGGCGGUCUGUCAAGUCGGAUGUGAAAUCCCCGGGCUCAACCUGGGAACUGCAUUCGAAACUGGCAGGCUAGAGUCUUGUAGAGGGGGGUAGAAUUCCAGGUGUAGCGGUGAAAUGCGUAGAGAUCUGGAGGAAUACCGGUGGCGAAGGCGGC
rnacentral:rRNA from 1 species